UAAGAUGUGAGAUUUAAUUUAGAUUAACAAUUUACCUGAGUAUUACGGACUCUGUAAUUGUUAGAUUAUUAGAGUAAUCUAAAACUCAAAAAACUUGGCGGUGCCUUAAAUCCUUUCAGGGGAACCUGUCCUGUAAUUGAUAGUCCACGAUUUAUCUUUCCUUUUUUUGAAUUAAAUAAUCAGUUUGUAUACCGCCGUCGUCAGAUUACCUUUAAGAGUAAUAAAGUUAUCAAGUAGAGUAUUGUCGUGAUGUGAGUGUGUUUAGUUGCUCUAUCGAAUAUUUUCUAAACGUCAGAUCAAGGUGCAGCUAAUAAAGAGGAAGAGAUGGGUUACAGUAAUUAGAUAUUAUACGAAUCCUUUAUUGUAAAAUAAAUUCAAAGGCGGACUUGAAAGUAAUUUAUGAGAAAUAGAGAGUCUCGGUGAAGGUGGCUCUAAGGCGUGU
rnacentral:rRNA from 1 species